UUGGAAAGAUGACAACAUACCAUAAAAUUUGGCCUUCCAUUACAAGGUAGUUGUUGAUGGAUUUGCUUCCUUUUAACAUGAGCGGACACCUCCUCCACCUCCACCUCCUCCUCCUCCUCCUCCUCCUCCUCCUCCUCCUCGUCAGAUGGAAUCUAGCAUUGAAUCUAAAUGAUGUCUUUCCAAAGUCCUAAAGUGGGUGCUUAUCGGUGUGAGUGUACUAACGGUUGCCUGCCAAUGUGGGGGGCCGGCCUGUCCGGUCCGGGGUCUGGUCUGGUCUGAGACAUUCGAGGCAGCAUAGAAAAUGGAUAGACGGAUGCAUAUUUCAUUUCCCACUCCGCAUCAUGUUAACAGUGGUUUGGAAUAGACUCGCCCGCCCGCGCAACUCAAGGACGAAUCCAAAGUACACGUUUUGGAUGCAAGUGGGGACGUCCCGAGUGUCCACGACUCGCAUGGAAGAGCGAUUUGAAGGUGGCCUAUGAGCUCAAGCUGCCCCCUGCUGACCCGAGGACAGAAUGCAGCUCUCCGAAGGCCGAUGACGUCACCGCCAGGGAGGCUGACCGAGCGCACUUUGCUCUAUUUGCGUCGCUCCAGAAGAGGAAGCGCUUCCACAAAAGGCACUCUCAGUGUGUCAGCUCGGUUGACCCUCUCCUCUGGGGAAAUAACCACCCGUAAUUUAGGGUCCACAUCGACAGUGCCUUCACGCGAAAGCACCUACUGGCGCAUCAGCUGCACGGAGCAUGGAGCUUGUCCCCCGCGCAACACAAUCGUCAUUUGACAUUUAGCCAGCAUUUACUGACUGAAAGUCAUGUAGUGAAGACCCUGCAAGGAGCCCGAGGCCGGAACGGCGGACCGGAGAUGACGACCCUCCGUACAGCUACUUCCUCUUCCACACGUGUGCGAACAUCAGGGUCCUCGACAAUCUCGUUGAAAGGAAGAGCUCCUUGUUCCUGCAUCUCGUCACCGUAACGAGCUGUGCGGCGUGUAGUUUCCACCCGGUGCGCUCUGCAGGGAACGUGGGCUGAGCACCUUCGCUCAUCUGGUAUCUGCAUUCCUUACAGCACACAGAAGGUACUUUGGAAAUAUCAUCAUCGAUGUCAGUUUUUUUUGGUUUGUCUUCAAGAAAAGUAAGGUGCUGGUGACCGCCGCCAGUGGUGGGGCGCCCAUCCUAGCGCCCUCUAUUGGCCAGCCCCAAAACAUUUGUCACCAUCUGGAUUCGAUACCGAUACCGCUAACAUUUGUGAAAGAUACUUAUUCUAUCUAAGCCGCCUCUUUUUUCAUACUGAUUCAUACUAAAGCGACCCAGACAUGAUGUUGUCUUCUGAAAUGAAAAUGUACGAGUAUUUAUUCAACGCGCUUCAGUACCUGUGUUACUCGGCCCAAGCGCCCAUCGCGAUGUCUCCGCCGAGCAACAACAGCCUGUCCUUGGAAGCCUUUGUGCCCUCCGCGUGUCCUUGUCGACAGUCUUGAAGCACUACUCGUGACUGUGACCGGCAGAGGCGCUCUCGAUCCGGGCUCGACGGAAAGCCGUCGGUGUACUUACUCCUAACUGGACGAGUAGAAUGAGUGUGUCUUUUCCAAAACUGCCUGUGAGACAUGAUGUACUAGCAACUUUGGCGGACUAGUAGGACAUCUUCCUGUCAUUUCUAUGGAAAGGCGCUUGCGCAUUUCUUUGAUACCCUAACUUGAUAUCCAGCGAAAGGUCCGUGAACUAGUGCACUCCUUAUCCUCACCGGUAAGAUCAUUUAGCCUUAGUUUUCCCACGUGACAUUUCUGCACACUAGUAGAACUCCGUUGACACGCUAAAGGACAAGCGCACGUCGUUAGCGAGGCAGCACUGUGCCCUGUGAACGAUGGGAUGGAUCACGGAUGGAGCUCAGCACGUGCUGCAGUGCGGCCUCUCUGACCGGGCACAGUGCCGUGGUGCUACUCGAAUUUAUGGAAAGAAAUGUCAAUACACCAGGAAUUAGCCAAAUUGUCCUCGCAUGUCGGCGAGGGGAGAUAUCUCUUUUGCAUGGCUAUAAAAUAUAGAAUAUUUAUGAUAUAUGCACCCUUCAGCCUGAUAUCUUUCCGUUAAACUAACCUAAAUUCCCAGUUAAUUUCCAUAAAUUCCCGAUCAUUCUCACGGAAAGUUUCCAAGUCCCCAUCCCUUUGCGCUCUUAAUUCUAUGUACUGUAAAGUAUUGUUGCUCCAUAUAUAGUAGACAUAUCGUGUUGCCUACGCUUGCUGCUUUUUCCCAUUCCCAUUCCCAUCGGGCUGCAUCCUGUAGUAUUCCCAGUCGAGUGGAGUAUUGUCGAUACAUCUUAUUUAUUCGCUAUCGCUGCCGAUCAUUCAUACGGAUGCUGUUUAUUUCAUGAUCGACUUCUCAUGUCGUGUACACAGCGUAUUGUUCUUUCGUUGUCGUUGUCGAGCGUUUCAAUCGGCCAAAUGAUUGAGACAAAAGCAAGAAUUCCAUUCUAUUUGACUUGAAACCCCGAAUGAAUGUCGAUGACUUUGCGAUAGUUUGAACGGUGUUGACUCGGCAUCGUCCGACAGAUGUUGUGCUCUUGUCCCUGAACAGGACAAGGAGCACUGAGAUCGGUCGCAGAGCCGCGCGGCCUACCGACACGAAACUCAGCCGUCCCAUCAGGAGCACGCUGCGCGAUGAGGGGCCUGCGGGGACCUCGCACCCGGACCGCUGAUGUUCCCACACACACACACACACACACGCACUACUGAAACGCUCUCAUACGCGGUACAGAUUUGUUCCCCGCUAAUAUACACUACAGAAACACGCUCCAUAUGUUUGAAGGUAAGCGGUGAAAACGUGCAAAGACUGAGAACUAUUUAGUGCGGAAUUCUCAGCUGCCCGGAUUUCUUGGGCGGGGCUAAACACAAGAAAGCGUUUAGCACAACUUGGAAAAAUCUCCCCUGAGGUUUUAACGUGCAGCAUGUUAUAGGAUGAUAUGAUAUUUGCGAACGUAGCGUCAUCUGUGUCAGGUCAGGAGUGUGUGAGAGCAUUUCGGUAGUGCCGGUGAGAGGCAAUCCUGCAUUAUGUCACUGACGGCCCCUCACACUGAACUCUUUGGAUUGAAUAAGAAGCUAUUUACCCAGCUGGAAAGAAGAAAACAUGUCUUCCAUAGUUAAUCAUCAGUGUGGACACAUUUGUGCGAUGGGGCGCACGUGUGAGAGCUGUUUACACAGGACACAAGAAAACCCUAACCCACAAAGCUUUGCACACACUUUAGUUUGGACAAAUGUGAAAUUACACACGGAUAAAUGAUGUCUAGUCUAGUCUAGUCCUCUAAAGUCUACUUUACAUGCAUGUCCAAAUAAUAAAAACAUGGAAGGAG